rnacentral:rRNA from 1 species
UUCCUUUGAGUUUCAGCCUUGCGACCAUACUCCCCAGGCGGAACACUUAACGCUUUCGCUACGGCCGAGAGGAUGUGGAAGUCCCCUCAACCCAGUGUUCAUCGUUUACGGCUAGGACUACCGGGGUAUCUAAUCCCGUUCGCUACCCUAGCUUUCGUGCCUCAGCGUCAGAAAAGAUCCAGUGAUGCGCUUUCGCCACCGGUGUUCCCUAUGAUAUCAACGCAUUUCACCGCUCCACCAUAAGUUCCCAUCACCCCUAUCUUCCUCGAGCUUGGGGGGUUUGAAACGCAAUUCCACGGUUGAGCCGUGGGCUUUCACAUCUCACCUACCAGGCCGCCUACGCACGCUUUAAGCCCAGUGAUACCGAAUAACGUUUGGACGGUUCGUCUUACCGCGACUGCUGGCACGAACUUAGCCCGUCCUUCCUCUGAAGAUCGGUCAACCAUGAGAGAUAACUCUCAUGGACUUCCUAACUACUGACAGCGGUUUACAACCCGAGGCCUUCAUCCCGCACGCGGCGUCGCUCGGUCAGACUUUCGUCCAUUGCCGA